rnacentral:rRNA from 1 species
GAACUGAAGAGUUUGAUCAUGGCUCAGAUUGAACGCUGGCGGCAGGCCUAACACAUGCAAGUCGAGCGGUAGAGAGAAGCUUGCUUCUCUUGAGAGCGGCGGACGGGUGAGUAAAGCCUAGGAAUCUGCCUGGUAGUGGGGGAUAACGUUCGGAAACGGACGCUAAUACCGCAUACGUCCUACGGGAGAAAGCAGGGGACCUUCGGGCCUUGCGCUAUCAGAUGAGCCUAGGUCGGAUUAGCUAGUUGGUGAGGUAAUGGCUCACCAAGGCGACGAUCCGUAACUGGUCUGAGAGGAUGAUCAGUCACACUGGAACUGAGACACGGUCCAGACUCCUACGGGAGGCAGCAGUGGGGAAUAUUGGACAAUGGGCGAAAGCCUGAUCCAGCCAUGCCGCGUGUGUGAAGAAGGUCUUCGGAUUGUAAAGCACUUUAAGUUGGGAGGAAGGGCAGUUACCUAAUACGUGAUUGUUUUGACGUUACCGACAGAAUAAGCACCGGCUAACUCUGUGCCAGCAGCCGCGGUAAUACAGAGGGUGCAAGCGUUAAUCGGAAUUACUGGGCGUAAAGCGCGCGUAGGUGGUUUGUUAAGUUGGAUGUGAAAUCCCCGGGCUCAACCUGGGAACUGCAUUCAAAACUGACUGACUAGAGUGUGGUAGAGGGUGGUGGAAUUUCCUGUGUAGCGGUGAAAUGCGUAGAUAUAGGAA